rnacentral:rRNA from 1 species
AUUGAACGCUGGCGGCAGGCCUAACACAUGCAAGUCGAGCGAGCGGCGGACGGGUGGGUAAUGUAUGGGAAUCUGCCCGAUAUAGUGGGAUAACUACUGGAACCGGUGGCUAAUACCGCAUACUAUAGGAUAAGCCCAUAUGGGAUUAGCUAGUAGGUGGGGUAAAGGCUCACCUAGGCGCCGCUCUCUAGCUGGUCUGAGAGGAUGAGCAGCCACACUGGUACUGAGACACGGCCCAGACUCCUACGGGAGGCAGCAGUGGGGAAGAUUGCACAAUGGGCGCAAGCCGGAUGCAGCCAUGCCGCGUGUAUGAAGAAGGCCUUAGGGUGGUAAAGUACUUUCAGCGGGGAGGCGUUACCCGCAGAAGAAGCACCGGCUAACUCCGUGCCAGCAGCCGCGGUAAUAC